CCGCACCAAGGGGCGUAGAACUCAACCAGCACGUGGCGAUGUUCCUCGAUGAAUUUGCUGAAAUUGCCGUCCGUCAGAACCACGACGUCCUUCUCGUCGACAGCCGGCGGAGGGGAUUCAUCGUGGCCAUCGAAAGCGGACGGAUCGAAGUCCUCGGGCGCGUCGUCUGCCUCGUCCUCGUCUCCCUCGUGGUCGGAAGCGUGAAGGUGGUCGCCCGAGGCCUCGUCACCUUCCUCGAGGAAGCUGAGGUCCUCGUCGUCAUCGAGAUCGUCGGAUUUCUUCGGAUCCGGGGGGGGUGGCGGCGGCAGAGGCGCAGGAGAGGAGGAUGGCCGAUGUGGCGAGGAGGAGGAGCAACAGGAGGAACCGCCGGCGGAUCGCCAUACCGCGCGGAAUGAGAUGGAUGCCGCUUGCUCGGGCGACUCGAAACACGAAGAAGUGAGCGCAGUGGAACAGAUCUCGCUGUGGGUUUUCUAAUGGGGACUGGUUCAGUAGAGAGAUUAAUUUUCUUCCAGCCAUUAAUGAAGGAA
rnacentral:lncRNA from 1 species